rnacentral:rRNA from 1 species
UACGGGGGGGGCAAGCGUUGUUCGGAAUUACUGGGCGUAAAGGGCUCGUAGGCGGCCAACUAAGUCAGACGUGAAAUCCCUCGGCUUAACCGGGGAACUGCAUCUGAUACUGGAUGGCUUGAGUUCGGGAGAGGGAUGCGGAAUUCCAGGUGUAGCGGUGAAAUGCGUAGAUAUCCGGAGGAACACCAGUGGCGAAAGCGGCCACCUGGACUGCACCUGACGCUGACACGCGAAAGCUAGGGGAGCGAACGGG